GGUUAGUGAGUAUUUCUAAGAUCUUCAGCAAUUUAUCAAUUGGAUUGAAGUAAUUUUUUUUUAUGAAGAUAUUAAACUUAAUUUUUUAAUAUUUUAGAUAAAAUUUGAUAGUGAUUUAAUAAUUCAAGAAGGAGAUAUUAAUAUUAAAAGUUCAGUAUUUAGAUUGGAAUAGGAGACUAUCUAAGACCCAAUUGGAUAAACUUAUAUUUCUCUCAAUUCAUAAGUACGAUUGAUUUCAUCUUUCUUAUAAUUGUUCUUUAUUAAGACAUUAAGAAGUACAUAAAUUUUGAGUUGAUAUCAAUGGUUUGAUUAUUAGUUGUUGAAGUUCCAAUUUACUAUAGAAUUUGUUAAGAGUUUAUUUAAGAUCUAAGAUUUGAUUAAAAUUUGAUUUAGGAUUUAAUCUAGGAUUUAAUUAGAAUUAAGAUUUGGUUAGGAUUUGAUUUAGAACUUAUCUAAGGUUUAUCUAGGAUUUAAGAAUUCAUUAGGAUUUAAGAAUUUAUUAGGAUUUCAUUAAGAUUUUACCUAGGAUUUGAUUAAGGUUAGAAUUUUCUUGGAAUUUGGUUUAGAAUUUGACUAAGAACUGAUUAGAAUUUGUCUAAGAUUUAUCUAAGAUUUUUUUAAGAUUUAAGAUUUAUUAGGUUUUUAUUGGGAUUUUAUUAGGAUUUGACAUAGGAUUUGAUUAAGGUUCCAUUAGAAUUUUAAUUAG
rnacentral:lncRNA from 1 species